rnacentral:miRNA from 2 species
CGGGUUGGGUUCUCGGGAGCU